AGAGUUUGAUCCUGGCUCACGNUNUUUGCUAGCUACAGGCUUAACACAUGCAGUCGAGGGGACAUGACACGGUAGCUUGCUACUGUGGGCGUCGACCGGCGCACGGGUGUGUAACGCGUAUCCAACCUGGCCUGAGGUAAGGGAUAAUCCGUANAAAUGCGGNCUAAUACCUUAUGUGUUCCGAAGAGGACAUCUGAUUUGGAAUAAAGAUUUAUUGNCUUAGGAUGGGGAUGCGUCNGAUUAGAUAGUUGGCGGGGUAACUGCCCACCAAGUCUCGAUCAGUAGGGGUUCNGAGAGGAAAGUCCCCCACAUUUNAACUGAGACACGGUCCAAACUCCUACGGGAGGCAGCAGUG
rnacentral:rRNA from 1 species